AUGCCUGAGAAUUCAGUAAAGGGGAAAUUCAUGGAAAGUGUGGCCACAGAUUGGUUUUCAGACAAGCACGGGCUGGAUCCAGAGUUGUUUUCUUAUCUAAGCAUUGUCUGGUCCUGUAGGGACAAUCUCUUCAUCAGCUGUACAGAAAGGAGAGAUCUAGUUCAUAAAAAGCUUAGGGGGGACAACUUUCCGCCCGCGCCUCUGCGAGCGUGCCGCUACCACUCUCGCUGUCUCCACUCCCGCGUCCUUGCCGCCCCUUCUUCUCUGCUGCUAGGUGGCCAAGAAGGAAGACGCAAUUCAGUCAGGAUCGCUAAAGGUGACCCCAAGAAACCAAAGGGCAAGAUGUCUGCUUAUGCCUUCUUCAUGCAGACAUGCAGGGAAGAACAUAAGAAGAAAAACCCAGAGGUUCCCGUCAAUUUUGCAGAGUUUUCCAAGAAGUGCUCUGAGAGGUGGAAGACCAUGUCUAGCAAAGAGAAAUCAAAGUUUGAUGAAUUGGCAAAGGCAGAUAAAGUACGCUAUGAUCAGGAGAUGGAUUAUGGACCAGCUAAGGGAGGCAAGAAGAAGAAGGACCCAAAUGCCCCCAAAAGACCUCCGUCUGGAUUUUUCUUAUUUUGCUCUGAAUUCUGCCCCAAGAUCAAAUCCACAAACCCUGGCAUCUCCAUUGGAGAUGUGGCAAAAAAGCUGGGUGAGAUGUGGAAUAACUUAAGUGACAGUGAAAAGCAGCCUUACAUCAGCAAGGCAGCGAAGCUGAAGGAGAAGUAUGAGAAGGAUGUUGCUGACUAUAAGUCUAAAGGGAAGUUUGAUGGUGCCAAGGGUCCUGCUAAAGUUGCCCGGAAAAAGGUGAAAGAAGAGGAAGAGGAGGAGGAAGAGGAAGAAGAGGGAGAGGAAGAGAAAGAGGAAGAAGAUGAAUAAAAACUCUGUUUCCUUGUGAAUACCUUAGAGUAGGAGAGCGCUGUGAUUGACACAUCUCUUAUUUGAGUCGUGUCUAUUGCCCUUGUUAGGUUUAAUUACAAAAUUUGAUCAUGAUCAUAUUGUAGUUUCUCAAAGUGUCAGUGGUUUACAUGAAGUGGCCGUGGGUGUCCCGAGCGCCCUGAAACUGUAUCAAAGUUGUACAUAGCUCCAAACAUUUUUUAAUUGAAAAGGCACUCUCGCGUCCUCCUCACUCAGUGCACUUUGCUGUUGGUGUGACAAGGCAAUCGAAGAUGUUUCUGGCAUUUUGUUCUCAACUCGUAAGGUAGUGUUAACUGUAUGGUGGUUGGCUAGCCAUCCUGAGUUGCCAUCUGUACAUAGCUAUAGUUUGUAAAGAGGACAAAACAACCCGGACGGAUCCUUGACGCUCCUUGUUUGGCGUGGAGGCUAUGAGGGGAAGAUGUCUUUUGGAGGGGCCGUAGCUCAGGGCGUGCACUGUGAGGCUGGACCUGUUGAUACUGUGGUGGGCAUCCAUUUAGCUUCAGGUUGUCCUGUUUUUGUAUAUAGUGGCAUAGCAUUCUGCUGACAUUCUUAGUGGAAAGGGGGAGGGGUCAGCUGGCAUGAGAAGUGUGUGGAGUUUUUUCUUUAGUUAAGAGCAGUAGGUUUUAAACAUUUUAAAGAAACUGUAGAACUCAUCGUUGUCAGCAAAGCAAAGAACUACUGCAUCAAUGGAAGUUCAAGAACCCUCUGGACCUAAACGCAAUUUGCAACAUUCUGUUAUUUUUUGUAUGUUUAGAAUGCUGAAAUGUUUUUGAAGUUAAAUAAACAGUAUU